rnacentral:tRNA from 1 species
GCCCCGUUCGUCUAGUGGCCUAGGACGCCACCCUCUCAAGGUGGUAGCACGGGUUCAAAUCCCGUACGGGGUG